GUCUACAGCCAUACCACCGAGAAAAAACCGGUUCUCGUCCGAUCACCGAAGUGAAACUGGGUAGGGCCAGCGUAGUACUUGGAUGGGUGACUACCUGGGAAUAACUGGUGCUGUAGACU
rnacentral:rRNA from 1 species